rnacentral:rRNA from 1 species
UGGUGGAGUGAUUUGUCUGGUUUAGUCCGAUAACGAACGAGACCUCAAUCUAUUAAAUAGUAAAUCUAACAAGGGGAUUUUCGGGUCGGUCGGGUUCGCUCGGUCGGUUCGGGGUUCCCAUCAAAUUGUCGGAAAAGUAUACUUCUUAGAGAGACUCUUGAUAUUUAAAUCAAUGGAGGAGUGAGGCAAAAACA